UACGGAGGGGGCAAGCGUUGUCCGGAAUCAUUGGGCGUAAAGAGCGUGUAGGCGGCUCGAUAAGUCUGCUGUGAAAGUCCAGGGCUCAACCCUGGAAGGCCGGUGGAAACUGUCGGGCUAGAGUCCGGAAGAGGCGAGUGGAAUUCCCGGUGUAGCGGUGAAAUGCGCAGAUAUCGGGAGGAACACCAAUGGCGAAGGCAGCUCGCUGGGACGGUACUGACGCUGAGACGCGAAAGCGUGGGGAGCAAACAGG
rnacentral:rRNA from 1 species